UACGUAGGUGGCAAGCGUUGUCCGGAAUUAUUGGGCGUAAAGCGCGCGCAGGCGGCCUUUUUUUUUUUUUUUUUUAAGUCAUGUGAAAGCCCACGGCUCAACCGUGGAAGGUCAUUGGAAACUAAAGGCUUGAGUCAGAAGAGGAAAGCGGAAUUCCACGUGUAGCGGUGAAAAUGCGUAGAGAUGUGGAGGAACACCAGUGGCGAAGGCGGCUUUCUGGUCUGUAACUGACGUG
rnacentral:rRNA from 1 species